rnacentral:rRNA from 1 species
GUGCGAGCGUUAAUCGGAAUUACUGGGCGUAAAGCGUGCGCAGGCGGUUAUGUAAGACAGAUGUGAAAUGCCCGGGCUUAACCUGGGAACUGCAUUUGUGACUGCAUGGCUAGAGUUUGGCAGAGGGGGGUAGAAUUCCACGUGUAGCAGUGAAAUGCGUAGAUAUGUGGAGGAACACCGAUGGCGAAGGCAGCCCCCUGGGUCAAGACUGACGCUCAUGCACGAAAGCGUGGGGAGCAAACAGG